UUACUUUUCAAUGUUUUCAUAUUUCCUAAGAAAGUACUAGAUUAUUAAGAAAUUUGUUAAUUACAUGAACCAAAGUUCAGUAAUCCUAGUCUCAAAGGUUUAACUGAAGCAUAAUUAAAUCUUCAAAAUGUUGAUUUUCAUAGAGACAUAGAGUGAUUUGCUUUUUUUUUUUAAGCUUUUGUAAAAUUAUUUAUCCCAAAAUUCAUGUUGGGAUAUAGUUUCUUUAAAGCCCAGAUUACCUGCCCUAGACUUAAAAUUAUUGUGAUUGAGGUGGAGAGGUAUUCUCAGAAUCAGAAAGCAUACAAAAAUUUUUUGUCCUGAUAAAGAGGCCAAUGAUUACUGAUGAGAACUAACAUUCUUGAACAGUGAUAUAAGAAAUGGUUACUUUGAAUUGGAUGUUUAUAAAUAGAGAGUGAAAUGUUAUAAUAAAAGACUNNNCAAAGCAAAACCAAAUAAAAGCAAAAGCCAUAUUCACAUCCUGUUGUUCUCCUUUCUGUGCUCGUGGAAAUCGUGCCUACGCAGCCCUUUACUUCUUUCCUCUCUCGGAUGCUGUCUUAAUCCAGGCUCUCAUCACUUCCUGCCCCAAACCUGGUUUUCAGACUUCCAUUUUAAAAUCACAGCAUACUUUCCUCAAAGUCUAUAUGGAAAUCCAGUUCAUAAACAGAAAACUGCUUUACCUGGACCAGGGUGAGGGCUGGUUCCCAGUGGCCUCACCCCUUGCCUCCGUCAUUCAUUCAUUCAAUAUAGUAAUUGAAAACCACUGGUCUAGUCUAUCAGCUUAACUUCCUAAUUGGGCCUCCUGCUUGGAGUCACUUGUCUCUAUCAUAUUCUGCCCAUCCUGUUAGUAGGACUACAUUUCUAAAACUCAGAUCUGAUCUCGUCACUGCCCUUUUCAGAAACUUUCAAUUCUGUCCUUACUGUGUGUGAUGUCUUGACUCUAUGGUGUCAGCCACAUCGGAGCCUUUACCAAGGAAAAGGAUCUAGAUAGAAGCUAUAACAGUUGAUUUUAUAUUUGCAAAUGAUGCAACCAUCAGGGCUUAAUUUUCAAAAUAAACAGCUCAUACAACUCAAUAACAAAAUAACAAACAACACAAUUUAAAAAUGGGCAGACGACCUAAAUAGAUACUUCUCCGAAAAAAGACAUACAGAUGGCCAACAGGCACAUGAAAAGAUGCUUAUCAUCGCUAAUUUUAGAGAAAUGCAAAUCAAAACUACAGUGAGGUACCACCUCACACUGGUUAGAAUGGCCAUCACAAAAAAAGUCUACAAACAAUAAAUGCUCUGGAGAGGGUGUGGAGAAAAGGGAACCCUCCUACACUGUUGAUGGGGAUGUAAGUUGGUGCAGUUACUAUGGAGAAGAGUGUGGAGGUUCCUUAAAAGAACUAAAAGUAGAGCUCCCCUAUCACCCAGCAAUGCCACUCCUGGGCACACACCUAGACAAAACCAUAACUAGAAAAGAUACGAGCACCCCUGGGUUUAUGGCAGCACUAUUCACAGUAGCCAAGAUAUGGAAGCAACCUAAAUGUCCAUCGACAGAAAAUGCAGUACAUAUUUACCAGUAAUAGAAUAUUACUCAGCCAUAAAAAAGAAUGAAAUAAAGCCAUGCCAUUUACAGCAACAUGCGUAGACCUAGAGAUCUUCAUACUAAGUGAAGUCAGAAAGAGAAAGACAAAUACCAUGUGCUAUCACUCAUAUGUGGAGUCCAAAAUAAAACACAAGUGGACUUAUCCAUGAAACAGACUCAGACAUAGAGAGAUUUGUGGUUGCCAAAGGAGAGGGGAGAGUCAGGGAGCGAAGGACUGGGAGUUUGGGAUUGGCAGAUGCAAACUGUGAUACAGAGAAUGGAUUAACAACAAAGUCCUACUGUAAGCACGGGGAGCUAUAUUCAAUAUCCUGUGAUAAACCAUAACGGAAAAGAAUAUAAAAGAAGAAUAUAUGUGUAUAUAUAUAUAUAUGAAUAAUUAAAUCAUUUUGCUGUAUAG
rnacentral:lncRNA from 1 species